rnacentral:misc_RNA from 1 species
GAUGAAGAACGUAGCGAAAUGCGAUAAGUAAUGUGAAUUGCAGAAUUCAGUGAAUCAUCGAAUCUUUGAACGCAUCUUGCGCUCCUUGGUAUUCUGAGGAGCAUGCCUGUUUGAGUGUCAUUAAAUUCUCAACCGCACUGACUUUGAAUUGGUGUGGCUUGGAUUUGGGGGGAAAAUUGUUGUGGGCUUUUUGUAUAGUCUGCUCCCCUGAAAUUGAUUAGCGGUACCUUUGUGGAACUGUCUACAGGUGUGAUAAUUAUCUACAUCUUAGACAUCUGCUGGAAUGCUGCUUUCUAAACCUUACUUGUAUUGACAAUCUUGACCUCAAAUCAGGUAGGACUACCCGCUGAACUUAAGCAUAUCAAUAAGCGGAGGA